ACGGAAGGCAGCAGUGGGGAAUAUUGCACAAUGGGCGAAAGCCUGAUGCAGCGACGCCGCGUGAGUGAAGAAGUAUCUCGGUAUGCAAAGCUCUAUCAGCAGGGAAGAAAAUGACGGUACCUGACUAAGAAGCCCCGGCUAACUACGUGCCAGCAGCCGCGGUAAUACGUAGGGGGCAAGCGUUAUCCGGAUUUACUGGGUGUAAAGGGAGCGUAGACGGUUUGGCAAGUCUGAAGUGAAAUGCGGGGGCUCAACUCCUGAACUGCUUUGGAAACUGUCGAACUAGAGUGCAGGAGAGGUAAGUGGAAUUCCUAGUGUAGCGGUGAAAUGCGUAGAUAUUAGGAGGAACACCAGUGGCGAAGGCGGCUUACUGGACUGUAACUGACGUUGAGGCUCGAAAGCGUGGGGAGCAAACAGGAUUAGAUACCCUGGUA
rnacentral:rRNA from 1 species